AGGAUAUUAAUGCAAGUUUUCCAAAAGGGUAAAGGAAGGGAGACGACGGCCGCAGCGCGUCUGCGUCGGCGGAGUGCGUACCAGAGCUCGGCAAUGGCUUCUCGUCUUCAGCUACCAGGCGACGACUCGGUGCUCCUGAGAGUCACCCACUCGAACAUCAAGAGCUUCUCCGCAGACGUCCGCUUCUCGCCCGAGAUGUCCGUGGAAUCCAUCAAGGAUAAGUUGUGGAAGAAGUGUGGUACUGCGGUCGAUUCCAUGCUCCUCGAACUCUACGACGCCGCCGGAUCCAAAGUCGUUGACCUCAACGACGCUACGAGGUCAUUCGGUUUCUACUCUCCUCAGGACGGGUACCGUUUGCAUAUUAUUGAUCUUGAUCCUUCUUCAGUAACCUCUGGUGGCUGGUUGGAAGACACUUCAUUGGUUGAGAAAUAUAAAAUUUCAGAAGAAGCUUACAAUAAGCUUGAUAACAACUUUAGGAAGUUCAAAGAAAAAAUCACAGCUCAAAAUCCAGUGGCUAAAGAAGGAAAGCUAUCUGAGAAUUACAUGGAAGACCUAUGUGCAAAUAUCAAGGUUAGUUGCUGUUACUUUCCUGUUGUUCAGCAUUUCUAUUAUGUACCUGUUAUAAUGUUUAUGUUUUACAGAGAAUAUGGAAAUUAUUUCCAUGUAUCUGUCUCAUAUGAUAGAUAUGCAUCUCUUAUGUAGGGAACACAAUGAAAACCAGAUGCACUAAUACUCAAUCUUGGAUGUGAAAUAUAACUUCACCUUCUAAGCCCAUUAUUAUGCAACUACAAUGUGGAUUCUAAAUGAUUUUACAAGUGGUUAUGUCCAUUACAACAUUUGAGAAACUGGUUGCCUACUAUGUUUUAUAGCUAUUCUUAAUAAGGUUUUGCAUGAUUAUAACUACGCCAUUGUGUAAUCGAAAGUAUGAUAAAAUUCAGAAAGAUACAGAUAGAUCUUGAUGAUUUUUAGGGAAUAGUUCAUUUUUUUUUCCUUAAACCAUUCUAUCUUACCCCCACCAAUAGUAUUGCCUGGUCAAAGUCAUGGUUAAUAUUAACCCCAAAAGGCAUUCUCUUCUCAAUAGAAGCAUGGCAUGAAGGAUCAGAGGUAGGAGCCCUUACCCUCAGCCUUUAGUUCAUCUCUGUAUAGUCAGCCUCUAUAACAUGUACCCCAUCAUGUGUGUUGAUACCACAAUCAUCUAGAGCUUCAUAGUAUUCACCUCCGAUAUGCACACCUCCCCCCUACAAAGGCAACUACCUGCACUCACAACCAAGUUUGUGGAGGUGUGCUGCUUGAUCCAGAUAUCCAGUACCACAGGCUUCCCCACAACUCAUACUUUUCCUGCCAGUAACACUUUGCACAUGAUCAACUACAUGGUAGUGAUGCAUAAAAGCGGUCUUUUCCUCCCUUGCAUCCUUCCAUUGUUGCUUCCUCGGCAGCUCUCUCUUUACCUCUCUUUCUUUUUCUUUGCUAAAACCAAAUCUGAAGUCAUGCAAUAAACCAGGGAAGUCAUGAGUGCUGGAGGCCCUAGUAGUAGAUUUUGUCAUCCUGGAGCUAAAAUUUGUCAUGCAGGACCCCGCAUAGCGGGAGCUUCAUGCACCGGGCUGCCCUUUUUAUGCACAAAUUACCAAUUCGAGAAAAAGUCACAUUCCCUUGAUCCUACUUCCCUUCUUCAGUAAUUUAAGCAUAUGAUCUAUUGUAGCAAUGAACUAUUUUCAAGGUAGGGGAUAGAUGUCAAGUUGAUCCUGGCGAGAAAAGGGGAGUUGUCAAAUUUGUUGGAAGAGCUGAAGAUCUAGGACCUGGUUUUUGGGUUGGAAUUCAGUAUGAUGAACCUCUAGGAAAGCACGAUGGCUUG